UCUUAAUUGUUGAGGAUGAAGAUGCC
rnacentral:piRNA from 1 species